UACGAAGGGGGCUAGCGUUGUUCGGAAUUACUGGGCGUAAAGCGCACGUAGGCGGAUACUUAAGUCAGGGGUGAAAUCCCGGGGCUCAACCCCGGAACUGCCUUUGAUACUGGGUAUCUCGAGUCCGGAAGAGGUGAGUGGAAUUCCGAGUGUAGACGGUGAAAUUCGCAGAUAUUCGGAGGAACACCAGUGGCGAAGGCGGCUCACUGGUCCGGUACUGACGCUGAGGUGCGAAAGCGUGGGGAGCAAACAGG
rnacentral:rRNA from 1 species